AUUGAACGCUGGCGGCAGGCCUAACACAUGCAAGUCGAGCGGAUGAAGGGAGCUUGCUCCUGGAUUCUGCGGCGGACGGGUGAGUAAUGCCUAGGAAUCUGCCUGGUAGUGGGGGAUAACGUCCGGAAACGGGCGCUAAUACCGCAUACGUCCUGAGGGAGAAAGUGGGGGAUCUUCGGACCUCACGCUAUCAGAUGAGCCUAGGUCGGAUUAGCUAGUUGGUGGGGUAAAGGCCUACCAAGGCGACGAUCCGUAACUGGUCUGAGAGGAUGAUCAGUCACACUGGAACUGAGACACGGUCCAGACUCCUACGGGAGGCAGCAGUGGGGAAUAUUGGACAAUGGGCGAAAGCCUGAUCCAGCCAUGCCGCGUGUGUGAAGAAGGUCUUCGGAUUGUAAAGCACUUUAAGUUGGGAGGAAGGGCAGUAAGUUAAUACCUUGCUGUUUUGACGUUACCAACAGAAUAAGCACCGGCUAACUUCGUG
rnacentral:rRNA from 1 species